UACAGAGGGGGCAAGCGUUGUUCGGAAUUACUGGGCGUAAAGGGCGCGUAGGCGGCCUGCUAAGUCGAACGUGAAAUCCCUGGGCUCAACCCAGGAACUGCGUCCGAUACUGGUUGGCUUGAAUCCGGGAGAGGGAUGUGGAAUUCCAGGUGUAGCGGUGAAAUGCGUAGAUAUCUGGAGGAAUACCGGUGGCGAAGGCGGCAUCCCGGACCGGCAUUGACGCUGAGGAGCGAAAGCUAGGGGAGCAAACGGG
rnacentral:rRNA from 1 species